CGAAAGCGUGGGGAGCGAACAGGAUUAGAUACCCUGGUAGUCCACGCCGUAAACGGUGGAUGCUGGAUGUGGGGACCAUUCCACGGUCUCCGUGUCGGAGCCAACGCGUUAAGCAUCCCGCCUGGGGAGUACGGCCGCAAGGCUAAAACUCAAAGAAAUUGACGGGGGCCCGCACAAGCGGCGGAGCAUGCGGAUUAAUUCGAUGCAACGCGAAGAACCUUACCUGGGCUUGACAUGUUCCCGACAGCCCCAGAGAUGGGGCCUCCCUUCGGGGCGGGUUCACAGGUGGUGCAUGGUCGUCGUCAGCUCGUGUCGUGAGAUGUUGGGUUAAGUCCCGCAACGAGCGCAACCCUCGCCCUGUGUUGCCAGCACGUCGUGGUGGGAACUCACGGGGGACCGCCGGGGUCAACUCGGAGGAAGGUGGGGAUGACGUCAGAUCAUCAUGCCCCUUACGUCCAGGGCUUCACGCAUGCUACAAUGGCCGGUACAACGGGAUGCGACACCGCGAGGUGGAGCGGAUCCCUUAAAACCGGUCUCAGUUCGGAUUGGAGUCUGCAACCCGACUCCAUGAAGGCGGAGUCGCUAGUAAUCGCGGAUCAGCAACGCCGCGGUGAAUGCGUUCCCGGGCCUUGUACACACCGCCCGUCAAGUCAUGAAAGUGGGUAGCACCCGAAGCCGGUGGCCCAACCUUUUUGGGGGGAGCCGUCUAAGGUGAGACUCGUGAUUGGGACUAAGUCGUAACAAGGUAGCCGUACCGGAAGGUGCGGCUG
rnacentral:rRNA from 1 species